CUCAGGUGAUCCACCCGCCUCGGCCUCCCAAAGUGCUGGGAUUACAGGCGUGAGCCACCGCGCCCAGCCCACAACCCCUUAUCUUAACCCAGACAACUAUUUCUACUGAUUCCAGGUCUUUUAGAUAAAAGCUAUUUCAACCAAUUGCCAAUCGGAUAAUCUCUGAACCCACCUGACCUGGAAGCCCCGCCCCUCCCUUCCAGUUGCCCCGCCUUUCCAGAGGGAUCCAAUGUACAUUUUACAUGUAUUGACUGAUGUCUUAUGUCUUCCUAAAUUGUUAAAACCAAGUUGUAGAUGGGCCAUCUUGGGCAUAUGUUCUCAGGAUCUCUUGGAGCUGUGUCAUGGGCCAUUAGUCACUCAUAUUUGUCUCAGAAUAAAUCUCUUCAACUAUUUAACAAAGUUCCACCCUUUUCGUCGACAGAAAGAUAUUCCUCCUUCAACUCCCCAUCCCAUCCCGUGGGGGUCUUUUCUUUCUUGUCCCAACAGAACACACUAACGAUCAAAAAACAGUCUCCAGAGCUUCAGUAUGUGUGUACUUGACAAGCACAAAAUAGCUGACCGCUAUGAGUGAAGGGCCAGUUCGUUAUGGUCAGCCAUGUCCCUUCUGAUGUUCUUCCUUUGGGAACUUGCUGUGCUUCAUACUGUAGCAGGACGAGCCACAGACAAAACUCCCCAGACACUGGAUUAAAGAAGGAGGAGGUUUUUUAUUUGCCUGGGAGCGUCGGCAGACUCGUGUCUUAAGAGCCGAGCUCCCCGGAAAAGAAAUACUUGGCCUUUUAAAAGGCUUACAACUUUAAGGGGUCCAAGUGAAAGGGUCAUGAUAAAUCGAGCAAGCCUGGGAAACGUGACUGGGGCCUACAUGCCUCAGUUAACAGAACAGAAAGUUUUACAAUGCUUUUUUCAUACAGUGUCUGGAAUUUACAGAUAACACAAAUAGUUUAGGCCAGGGAUUGACGUUAUUAUUAUUACUUUAACUCCUAGGGCCGGGUGGUGGUGCCAAGAUUGUCUGGCUCUUUAUCUGACUUUUGUUUCUUUUUCUCUUUCCUCCUGUCUUGUGAACUAGGCAAGGUGGGGGGAGGAGGGCCGCAGGAGUAGUAGUGGUCUCCUUCCUUAAUACAAUCUGAAACGACAGGGCUCUGAAAUAUUUCUCAGACUUAUCUGAAAUAUUUCUUAGACAGCCCUCUGGUAAAAUCUUGUUACUUCCUGUUUAAGAGUCAGCAAAGCCCCUCCACGUCCUUAAGAGCCCCGGAACUGCAUUUCUCAACGCUCCUCCAGGGGCCUCCAGCUUUUUUCCGUAAGGUCAGCGCGCUCUACAUUAUGAGGCGGGGCAAGCAGCAGCAUGGGAACUACACUACCCAGAAGACACCGCGGGGGCACAGCAGCGAGUGUAGCCGUCGGUUUAGCAGAGAGAGGACUAACGAGGUCUCAGUUGUGUGGGCGGGACUUGCGGCGGCGCCCUCAUGGUUAUGUUAGCGUGGCUGCCUAGAGAUCUGUUUACUGAUUUAGAGAGUUCCAGAGCUCUGGGUCGGGACUGAGGUGACAGAGCAGAAAAAGGAGAAGCGGUGUUCCUUCUACACAGAGGCUAAAGUGCGGAUCGGCUGAGUCGGCUGCAGGCACCCCUGCCUCCCUCAGCGUCCAGGUGACCGCCGUUCCCGCCCCGCUCUUCCCUGGCUGGACUGGAGGAGGCCGCGCCGAUGAACCUGACCGAGGUGCGUGCAGCGUCCCAGGCCGCCUCGCCCAACCCCUCCUCCCAGUGCUGAAGUCCGAAGGAGGGGCCCUGCAGGUUAGGCCCUUGUGUCUCUAAGAGAGGGGCGUUCUUGUGUGGGGUGCCCGGGACUGGGACUGCGGUGGGAUGAGGCGGGGGAGCUCCCGUCGGAGACCGACACGUCUCUGGGGCUUGGAGGCACUGCAGAACGGGAGGCCCGAGCCUCUUUGUCUCCAAGGAGCAGAGGUUGAGGCGGAGUCUCCCCUGGAAGGGCGGUGGAGCCGCGGAAAGCCAUAGAGGGCUGUCCAGGGAGGACGAAUGGGAGGGUCACGCCCAGAGUUAGAAAGUUUGAAGUUGGGGAAAACAUGAUGUUGAACGGGGGCAGGGGGACCGCCGAGGAGACCCCCUUGAGUUAUGGUAGGGCUGGGCCAGAGGAGUUGCAGUAGAGGGGAGAUGUGAUGAGAUUCUGGAUGGAUCUCAGAGGAUUUCCUGCUGCAUCAAACAGCUGUGAAAGAAAGUCGGUAGUGAAGGGUGUCUUCCGUAGGUUUUGUUUUGGCCUGAAAAAUCUGAAAGAAUGGAAUUAAAGAUAUCAGCUUAAGGAGCAAGUUUCAGACAGAAGAUCCUGGGUUGGAUUUGGGGUGACAUCACAUGGGUAGGUGGACGUAAUUUCUAAAGGUCAAGGAAGGUAGCUGGCCUGGAGCUUUAAAUGAGUUAGAAGUUGUGCACUUGAGAAGUUGGCCUGUGGAUCAGAUUGAGAAGGAAGAAUCCUAACAUUGUUUUUUAGUAUGGGCUGAGGGAGGGGAGGGCUCAGAUUUGGAGGAAAGACCAUGGUAGGGAGGGCAUCUCUGGUACUCCCUGCAGAAGGGAGCAGAUACGGGCUAAGAGUUUGGUCUGUUUCAGUUGAAAAAGAGGCCUGGAUGGAUAAGGAGUUGCCCUGGACUACAGAGACUGAGGCAUGAGAUAUUGUAGUCACUCCACCCUUCUAACUCAGCCAGCCCUGAGGGCCACUCUUUGGGGAACAAGAUAAGGCCAUGGAGCAAGUGGGUCCAAAACUAGGCAGGGCUUUCUCAUAUCCUCCACCACAGUUAAGGGCCUCCAGCAAGCUCCCUUUACUGAAUUAUCUGGCAGGCAGACCUGUUUGCUGAACGGACCAGUAACUGAUUGAUUGCUCAGCCCCAUCCUGCAACUCAUUAACUUAGGGAUGUAAAAACAGGUAAUUGACUUAAACACUAAUGAACUGUAUCAAUCUUAAAUAACCAAGCAAGUCAGAAUCUAGUUUAAAGAGAGUUCACAUGUUGAUAAUAGCCAUCUGAGACCCUAGAUUCAAGUUGUCCUGAAUAUACACUUCAAUUAGCAGCAGUGACUUUUUUUUUAAGGAAAAAAGAAGCAGUUUCUGAGUUGUUUACCAAUAACUUAUGUUAAAGUAACGUAAGUUUUUAUUGGCUAUACAUUGUUCUUUAUAUUAUAGAUUACAGAAACACGAAGAUAAUAGGUGAGACAGCUAGUCAGGAACAAAAUGUCUUUAAACAGUUGUUCUCAGGCAUCGGUUCAGGGAUGUGAUUGACAUCUCAUAUUCUUGCCUGUCUGAGCCUGAUACAUUUUGUGUAGGUCAGACAGCUCUGGGCUAUUUUUUGUUUGUUUGUUUCUCAGCCAAUAUCCUUCUAAAUAUGUACACAUAGGCAAUUGGAAAUAGAUGUAAUCAAUAAUUUAAACGUAUUACAAUAUUUAUUGUUAGAAUGUUAAUUUACCUGUAACUCUGCUUAUAGUACAAAUCUUUUUAUAUAUCACAUUUCCUUAAAACAUUAAGAAGUGGGGGCUGGGCACAGUGGCUCACACCUCUAAUCCCAGCACUUUGGGAAACGAAGGCGGCAGAUCACGAGGUCAGGAGUUCGAGACCAGCCUGGCCAACAUGAUGAAACCCCGUCUCUACUAAAAAUACAAAAAUUACCCGGGUGUGGUGGCGGGAGCCUAUAAUCCCAGCUGCUCGGGAGGCUGAGGCAGGAGAAUCGUUUGAACCUGGGAGGCGGAGGUUCCAGUGAGCCGAGAUUGUGUCAUUGCACUGUAGCCUGGGCAACAGGGCAAGGCCCCGUCUCAAAAAAAAAAAAAAAAAAGUGGGAAAAAUACUCAAAUUUUCGAAACCCUUCUACUUCAUUUGUGCUGAAAACAUGUACAAAACCAUUAAUCCUGUAGAAAGUAAUGCUUAUACAUAGUGUGUACUACUUAUGCUUCUUGUCAAUAUGAGCCCUAUGAAGUGGGAACCCUUUUAAUCUCCAUGUUACACAUAAGGGCACUGAGGCUUAGAGAGGUUCAGUCCUUGUCCAAAGACACAGAGCUGCUAAGAGGUAGCACUGAACUUAGGACUUGCUGUAACUUCAGAUUACUUUGCUCCAGUACAGGGCAGAGAUGGUUGUACAGCUCAGCCUGUAGGAUGCUGCAAUACUGUCCUGAUACUCAUGGCUUGCCUCUUCCUGUUACAGGCCAAAAGAAUGAGGGUUGUGAUCAACUGAGUAUACCACUGGAGGCCAUAUGAGUAAACAGCAAACUGUUUCUCAUGAAAGCAGGAUGUUGGCAAACUGACAAACUGCGUCUGCCCCCCAGAAGGAAUGCUGAAGGUAGUCACAACCCAGGCACAAGUGAAUUUCUUGUGAUUAGGCAUAAUUGAAGCCUGUUAACAAUGUGAACUUGUGAUCAAUUAAGCGGCUGACCAGUUGUUACCUCCUCCUCCUUUUCAUUCUACCCGGAGGGCUGUGGAAGCUUAGGGGCUGCCUUUGCUCACUAGAAGCAGGGAGCUCUCUUCUUCCUCGGUUCGCCUUCUUUAAAACAGUUUCUUUUGUCUUAAGUUUUCAUUUCUACAUUCGUCCCCCUUCAUUCAGUCUCGUAAUGAUGGUCUCAAGUAGUAACUGUACAAGUCUGUCACAUCUUCCCACAGGGUCCAUGGCAGUGGCAGCAAUGCAUAAGGACCCUGCACAGGAGUGUAUGGUCUUUGAGGAUGUGGCCAUAUAUUUCUCCCGGGAGGAAUGGGGAUCCUUAAUGAUGCUCAGAGACACCUGCACAGCAAUGUGAUGUUGGAGAACUUGGCACUUUUGUCAUCAGUAGGUAAGGCCUUCAUACCUACUCUGGCGUCUUGUGCUGGGUGCUGUUUUUUUGCUCUUUUCCAUGACAACUCUGUGUUUCUCACACCAGAUUGUGGGUGCUAUGUCCUGUCCACUCCUGGUUUCCUGGCAAAUGUGAUGAGGCAGCCAGAGCUGAGCUGUAUAUACUUUACUACCUCCCCUUAGGCAGCCUCAGCUUCUGUUGCUCUGAAACUUUACACGAUAAGGUUCGGAAGUCAGAAAUCUUCAGGUUUUUUUUUUUUUUGAGACGGAGUUUCACUCUUGUUGCCCAGGCUGAAGUGCAAUGGCAUGAUCUCGGCUCAC